ACGUAGGAGACGAGCGUUAUCCGGAUUUACUGGGCGUAAAGCGCGUGCAGGCGGUUUUUUAAGUCACUUGUGAAAGCGCCCGGCUCAACUGGGCGAGGCCGUGCGAGACUGUGGUUCUGGAGGCAGGCAGAGGCAGGUGGAAUUCCGGGUGGAGUGGUGAAACGCGUAGAGAUCCGGAGGAACCCCAGUGGCGAAGGUGACCUGCUCGGCCUUGCCUGACGCUCAGACGCGAAAGCAUGGGGAGCGAACGG
rnacentral:rRNA from 1 species